AGAGAAUCUACUGGAAACUAUUGGAUGGGACAGUAUCACUUGUGUAUAUAGAGGAGUUGUCAAGGAGGUUUACCUCGUUAUAUGAGACAGGAGCGAAGGAGAUAUUGGCAGAAGGCAUCUGGCGUGAUUUGAGAUGGGGAGAAAAAAGAGCUCAUGUGCCUAUCUAAGAGUAGAGGCAACAGAUGGUAGGAAUGAUCCAAGACUGAAGAUUGGCAGGACAAGUUUGAUGGUAGAAAGAGCCUCCAACUUACCUGUGCUUAUUUUGACUGAUGAACUGGGAUGCUCUUCUUUUUUAAAUCUUUUGCCUCCCAGAAGACCCCGAGUUCUCAGAGUCCUUGCCUGUUGACACCAUCACUCUAUGGCCCAUCAUACUGCCUCCCAGGGAAUGGAAUAUAAGGAAUUUCUCCCAAUGAGAGAUGCUUUCUGGGCCCCAUGCAUCAUAGAAAAUGAGCAUUUCCUCAGUUGCGCCUACUAUCAAAAUCACUAUUGCUCUCAUCAUUAGUAAAGUGGAAUGGACAAUGUUCUGGAUUCUAAUUUGAAAGACCUAGGUUCAAAAUCCAACUCUGCUAAUACUACUUAUAAUUCUGCUAAAAAUAACCAUGGACAAGUCACUUAAUUGUGUACUGGGCAUUAGUUUCCUCAUUUGUGAAAUGAGAGGUUGAACCAUAUAAUCUCUAAGAUCUCUUUCAGUUUUAAACCUAUAAUUAUCACCAUUGUCAAGCCUUCAUGGAGAGUAUCCUGUGUAUUGGGCAAAAUAGGAGACAGGAAUAAGUCAUGCAUAUGCAUUUGAGGUCUUUGAGUAAAUGACAUUUGAAGUCGUAAAGAUGAAAGAGUACCUUGUCAGUGCUAAGGAGAAUCUAAACUGCAGUGGGUCCCAUGUUAGGGUAUAAAAGGGAAAUAUGUUACUCAUGGGAUAAUGAUGACUUCCAUACUCUUUGAGGAAGUAGAACCCAAUAUCACAUGAGCCAGGAGACAUCUGGUCAGAUGACAAUUCGUGGGAAAAAGACCUUGAAUUGCAGUGAUUGCAAACUCAGAGUAUAUAUCAGAUUUGUAAAUGAAAUGGGGCAGCCAAGAAAAAGCUAAAGGAACUUGUAAAGAUGGAUGUCAAAGGCUUUGCUUAUGUGUUGUGAAUAUUAAUGAUCUGUUUAGGUUGUCUUAGGCCUAGGAUACAAACUCAGGGCAGCAUCCUGGCACCUGAUGCAAUUAGAGAGAGGGAGACUAACAAAUAUUUUACAGAUCAUGGGCUACAUUGGCUAUGGAGAUAGCAAGGCUUUUCAUUGGCCAAAAUAUAGCACCAAAGCUAAACAUAUUUAUGUAGACAUGGCUAUAGUUAUAUGUAUAUGAGUUAUGUGCAUGUGGAAUGUAUUACACAUGUAUACUAAAGUCAAGAAUUCUGGCUAAGUGUAAAAAAAUGACCUUGCCUACUUUUCUUACCUUUUGUUUUGGCUCAAAUUCUUUUCAAGUCAGGAAGAGUCUUGGAAAUAGCUAAUCCUAAGUCAGAAGGUUGUCUGUUACAAAGACCUGUCUAGCCUGAAGCACUUAAUUUUAGCCAGGGAGCUCUCUGCCUAACUUUUUAAGCUCGGUGUAGGGGUUCAUAGCCUUUAGCUAUGGCUACAGAGCUGUCAGCUUGUCCUUUCUAUGAAGAGGUUUUUCUUGCCCCUACAUCCCAGCAGAUUGUAGCUGAGAUGGCCAACAGAUUGCCCUAAAGAGAUGAAGCCCAGAAGCUUGUAUCAAGGGUGAUAUCUAGCAGCAACCAUGAGAUCAGUGGAAUGUCCAGAAGAGAAGCCAAUAAAAUGAGGAAAUGAGAAUUACUAGAGAUGUGA
ensembl:lncRNA